rnacentral:rRNA from 1 species
UACGUAGGGCGCAAGCGUUGUCCGGAAUUAUUGGGCGUAAAGAGCUCGUAGGCGGCCUGUUGCGUCCGCUGUGAAAUCCCGGGGCUCAACCCCGGGCCUGCAGUGGAUACGGGCUGGCUAGAGGCAGGCAGGGGAGAACGGAAUUCCUGGUGUAGCGGUGAAAUGCGCAGAUAUCAGGAGGAACACCAGUGGCGAAGGCGGUUCUCUGGGCCUGUACUGACGCUGAGGAGCGAAAGCGUGGGGAGCGAACAGG